CCACGUUAGGGAUAGUAGUGGAAAGCCCACAGCGCGGUUUGGCAUUGCGUGCGGGCAAAGCGAGGACUUGGAACGGAUAGCCCGGCCGCAG
rnacentral:sRNA from 1 species